AUUGAACGCUGGCGGCAGGCCUAACACAUGCAAGUCGAACGAGUGGCGGACGGGUGAGUAAUGUCUGGGAAACUGCCUGAUGGAGGGGGAUAACUACUGGAAACGGUAGCUAAUACCGCAUACCAUCAGAUGUGCCCAGAUGGGAUUAGCUAGUUGGUGGGGUAACGGCUCACCAAGGCGACGAUCCCUAGCUGGUCUGAGAGGAUGACCGGCCAAACUGGAACUGAGACACGGUCCAUACUCCGCCGUGAGGCAGCAGUGGGGAAUAUUGAACAAGGGGCGCAAGCCUGAUUCAGCCAUGCCGGGUGUAUGAAGAAGGCCGUCGGGUUGUAAAGUACUUUCAGCGGGGAGGCUUUACCCGCAGAAGAAGCACCGGCUAACUCCGUGCCAGCAGCCGCGGUAAUAC
rnacentral:rRNA from 1 species